GUAUUACUAGAUUUGCAAAAGCUCACCGAUCUCUCUUUUACCAAUACGAUUUGAGGAAGAUUAUGCCUUUUCUUUGUUUAGUGUCUCUGAUGUGCAGUGCAUUCGCAAGUCGGGUCAUUUUAGUGUGGGUACUGCCUAUAGUAGAUCUCUGUGCCUAGGGUAUAAUUGAUGCAAAUGGAUGGGUCGACAUUCCAUCCACAAUGUCGCUCGCAUCGUUAAUUACAAUCAAAAUGUCACUUUGACACGGUUCGUUCUGAUAUCAGAUCGUCUCCUUCGGAAUUAAGCGUUUUAGUUUUAGUUUUCUGCAGAUAGCAGGUUGUGGGCUGGGAUACGAUCAACCCUUCUUCGUGGCGGAUUUUUUUUAAAUAAUUAGUUUCCUUCCAAGUUGGUACAUGAAUGGGUGUAUUAUACAAGUUUCGAAUAUGUUUCAAAAACGAAAGGUGAUUUCGAUGAUUUUUUUUUUAUUUUAGUCUUAUCUUGGGCCAUUGUACCGUUAUCCGUCAUCAAAUCGCGGGGCAUCGAAGACCGCGUUCCCCCCCAAUUAUUAGCUUAAUAAUUUUUAAUUUUGCAAGUCCCUACCACAUCAGGGCAAAAUCAAAAAUGCCUGCUGUAAAGGAAGGGAUUUUCAGUGAGAUAUCAUAUACGGUGAUCGCAGGCAACGUAUUCAUAAACAUAUGUAAAACGGGAAAUUUACUUGUUUAAGCGAAUAUCGUAAACCUCGGUAAACUGCGGCAUCGUUUAUUACUGACCCUUGUCACCAAGUGUGGAAAAGCUAGGGAUUGCGGGACUUCUACUUCCAACCUCAAUUGUAAAUAUCUGCCCAAAGUCCUGAUUUGAACCCUAUCGAACAUGCUUGGGACCACUUGGAGAGAAAGUUGCAUUCUAUCCGCCUCACAGACAAAACCCAAUCGAAACAGCGGCUGAUGUUAGAAUGAAAUGCAAUUUCCACCAAAUAUAUUGACAAAUAGAUUAUGGAAAGGGAAUAUUUUACAUUCAUUUGUUUAUCUAACCUUGCAUUCAAUUUAUUGGAACCAGUUUGGGGCCAGCGAAAAGAAUUUUGAGAAUAUCUUUCAAUAUACUAACACCAUACAUAUGAUUUUCAACUGAAUCAACAAAACAAUAUAAGUAUAAUCGAUUA